UUUAAAAUAUGACCAAAACCAACAAAGAUCAUUUCGGUUGUGUAAUUUAUGGACAGUUACUCAGUAGCUAAGGUCUAUGUCUGAAUCAGCCAGAUACCGGUAGCCUAAUACACUUUAGUUAGGAAGACAAACGGAAGGGACUACUGUAGGCUAUAUAAAACACUUCAAAUAGUGGCUUCUUCUGUUUUGAUUUUGUUCACCCAUUAACGAAAAUAUGCGUAACAACCGCUCAAAUGGAAUAGUAGCCUAUUACUAAUCUACAUUUAUGCAAUCUCAACUUUUAUUAAGGCCUUGUUAUUGCAUUUCCCUAUUAAGUACAAGAAUGAGGAAGUUGUAGCUUACUUGGUGUCAAAAUAAUAGGUCACUACUUGACAGCGACAUACGUAGUUCAAUAGAAGCCAUUGUUUGAUACUAACUCAAACGAAAGCCGAAAAAACACUUACCUCGAUGUGUGAGAUAUAAGAGGCUAAUCAGAUACUUCAAAAACAUAUUUUCGUGGAUUAAAGUCACGGUCCUUCCACGAAGCUUUCAGUCUUGUCGUCAGUCAUAGUGAUUUAGGCUACAUAUCCGCUGUCUCCUCCUACGAGUCCAAGGGGGUAGGCUGUACUUAUGUUAACACCCACGGAGGUUCUGCUAAACUACCAUGAAAACCUUGCCUUCCGCUAUUUUCUUAGACAUAUCCUAGUUUAUAUAUUUUCUCUAAUGAAUACAAUGACGUGAGGAUAUUAUUUAUGUAAAUAGUAACCGGACUGUUUUUGUGAAUAGUGGACAUUACAGUAUUGUCUAAUUUGUGAAUAGCACACGGACACACGCGCUCGAACGCACGUUCACGCUUUUUGUAAAUGUGAAUUAUAUUAGGCCACGCGAGUAUUAACACGUGGGCCUAGCUUAUUAGGACUUCGUGAAUAAUAGCAUAAUUAAUUAAUCGCUUAAUGAGUAUUGAUUGCACAUAUAAACAUGUUCCAUAGAUAAUUUAAAAGAAACGGGCUAAAAUAAUCAGCAUUCAUCUGGUUGUUUUAGCAUGCGUAGCUAAAGUCCUCCAAGUCGAUUCGGUCACUAUCUAAACUAUUUGACUUGUUUCAAAGGUUUACAGACUGCAGUGGGAGGCUGAUACACACGGCACAAUGUAAUCUAGCUGUUGUCACAGCUCCAAUUGCGCACUUGAGUACAGCACCAAUGUGGUUUUCGUGGAGAAAGUGAGAAAAGCGCGGUUCUGAACUACACGCUAGGUAGCAGACACCUCGCCACCAGGCGUUCACAUGCCACCACAGUUGUAAAUUACAACAACUGAAAUAGGUCAUCCAAUUUCUAAGAGGGAAAUACAUACAUUUCCCCAACAGUAGCCAUCUCCUGGCAGUAAAAUUGUACCAAUAGUGACUGUGACCGAGUAGAUUUUACUCGGAUUAUAAAUUAUUCUUGCUGGAGUCUAAACUACUGAUAUCAACGACACACAUUCCUGACCGCCGACUAGUAGCCUUCCUCCGGUGUGGCGGACCCUCGCCCUCAGCCAGCAGUUAGGUUAAUACCACUCACCUGCGCUCUCUGCAUUCCGCACGCUUCCUCUCCUGCUUAUAUUCUCAGCUCUUCUACAGAUCUUCGCCAGAUCGUUAUCCUAGCCUGUCUGCUAUCCCACGUCGGCCACACAAAAUUGUCUUGAAUUAACUCAGUACUUUUAUUCUCGUUCUCAGAUCCGUGCACCUGCCUGCUUCCCCUACACUGUCCGUUACAUCUCAGGUUCUGUCUUGUUGUAUGUUUGUCGCCUGUCCUGUUCGUUGUCGUGUCUUCGAGAUUGUUUUGUGGUCCUGUCAUUGUCUCGUCAACCCCCUCGAGUUUCCAGCUCGCCGGAUCCAGCUCGCCCUUCGCCGGCCUUCCAGUCCGGUCCAGUCCAGUCCAGCUCCGCCCUGUCCAGUCGUCGUCUUGCCAGCCCCGUGACAGCUCCACCUCCGGUCCGACUCCAGUCAGCUCCCUGCCACGAUCCACCCUGCGCCGUCACGCCGAACAGCUCCUGCACCUCGCUACGCCUAAGACCUGCCUCCGCGCCAGCGGCUCUAGUUUCCUCUCUCUCUAUUCGUUCCUGUGACGUGUUAAUACAUUUCACUGUUGUGAAUCACAGAAGUUGUCUGCGUCUGAGUCCUGCAUUUGGGGUCCCCGUGUCAUGAACAUAACAGAGUGGCCAUUUUAAAAUGGGGGUUUUUUACAUUAGCAACCAGGAGCCAGCAUUUAGGAUGUGAUUUAGAGUGAUGUUGGCACCUUCAAGGAAGUCUUUUCUCAUAUGAGGCUUUUGGCUUGACCCAACUGUGGAAAUACUGCUAUUGACACCAUUCCUACAUUCUUUGAAAUGUUCAUGGGGCAUUCUACCACUUUCUUGAGGAACAACAAAUAUAUACCAAUGUAAAUAUAUAUUUUUUUACACAGGUAUAUACCAAAUUGCAAUUCCAAGUCGAUUCGGUCACUAUCUAAACUAUUUGACUUGUUUCAAAGGUUUACAGACUGCAGUGGGAGGCGGAUACACACGGCACAAUGUAAUCUAGCUGUUGUCACAGCUCCAAUUGCGCACUUGAGUACAGCACCAAUGUGGUUUUCGUGGAGAAAGUGAGAAAAGCGCGGUUCUGAACUACACGCUAGGUAGCAGACACCUCGCCACCAGGCGUUCACAUGCCACCACAGUUGUAAAUUACAACAACUGAAAUAGGUCAUCCAAUUUCUAAGAGGGAAAUACAUACAUUUCCCCAACAGUAGCCAUCUCCUGGCAGUAAAAUUGUACCAAUAGUGACUGUGACCGAGUAGAUUUUACUCGGAUUAUAAAUUAUUCUUGCUGGAGUCUAAACUACUGAUAUCAACGACACACAUUCCUGACCGCCGACUAGUAGCCUUCCUCAGGGUAAAUAUCGUUUUUUAUUUUUUAAAAACCGCUAAUAAAACACGUCACUACUUGAAUAAGUGCAGAUUGCAUGAUUACAAGAAUGAUUAUAUGCUUCUUUCUCACUGCACAGGUUAAGGCAUAACCCAGUCUUCAAAGAAGUGUGAAGUUAUAGUCAUAAGAUUUAGUGAUGGUUAGCACAACAUUGCCGGACUUGGAUAGAAUGGUACAGAGAGAGGCGCCUGUUUCACUACAUUCAAGUGGAGUUGUGAUGCGUUUCGUGCAACAGUACAUCGCACAAGAGUAUGUUCGGGUUAAACAAAUGCCAGUAAAUCCCGAAAGCCCGGACCAUAGCUGGGGAGCACGUCGUUUAAAUACAUACCAUUUGAGGAAUUAAAGCUGUCAUGGUUUCAGAUGGACAGCCCGCCUAUAGGACACAUGUAGGACGCAUAUUAUUGUUGAAAUGAGAAAGCGGAAGGCUAGUCCUAUUGGAAAAGCUAUUGUUUUGAGUGAGAGGAAGGACACAACAACUGUCAAACCAUUAGUGGUAAUUUUAAAUGUUAAUUCAUGUUUUCUUCUUGUGUAAAAAAAAGAAGGAAAUUAUUGGAGGAGAGUAGAGGAGAGCAUGUCUCUUGCUUUGAUAAGCACGUAUAGACUUUGUAAGUAAAGUAAAUUGAAUGUGAUGACAUAUUGAAGUUAUUUCACACUGUCUUGGCAUACUCAAUUUGUGUAGGCUAAUGACAGUUUUUGUGUAAUGACACAUUUGCUUGUGUUUGUGUGCUUUGAUCUGAGGGGUCUGAAUGUAACAUGACUUUGAAAAGCUGUGCCUUAUGGAAAAUGAUUUUGCAAAAUGCCUUAAUGGCACAAACAAGUAAGAUGACAGCAAUUUUCGUGUUUGGAGUGGGUGCACAUUUAUUUUUGGUUGUCUAGAUGAAGAACAAACAUUUUUGCUCACCCUUUCCAUUGGCUCCUAAAUAUAACUAUAAUAUUGACUCAACCCUAAUAAGAUAAUGACCAUUUUCCUAAACGUAAUUCUAGCAUUUGGAGUAGAAUUAGGGCUAGGAAGCUCCGGUAAUAUUGGAAAGCUUGGAUGACAGAGAAUCUUGAUGUUGCUCAGUCACUUCCAGGCUUCAGAGGUGUUUCAAUCUGCACCUUGUUGAUGCCUCAGCCCUGUGAUUCUGGCUCUUCUAAUUCGCAUGGUCUUCACCAACCCAGUCAGAGUAAAGGGUUGUAGCCAUGGUCAAGAGCGAGGAGGUCACAGGUGGCUUGUUGUAAAAAUAUGGAAGUGAGUGUGUCAUAUCCCUUGUGUUUCUCCUGUUUUGUGUUUGCCUUACGUAUCUUGUCUCUUCUCAUACGAUCUUUGUUCUCUGUUGCAGUGUGGCGGACCCUCGCCCUCAGCCAGCAGUUAGGAUAAUACCACUCACCUGCGCUCUCUGCAUUCCGCACGCUUCCUCUCCUGCUUAUAUUCUCAGCUCUUCUACAGAUCUUCGCCAGAUCGUUAUCCUAGCCUGUCUGCUAUCCCACGUCGGCCACACAAAAUUGUCUUGAAUUAACUCAGUACUUUUAUUCUCGUUCUCAGAUCCGUGCACUUGCCUGCUUCCCCUACACUGUCCGUUACAUCUCAGGUUCUGUCUUGUUGUAUGUUUGUCGCCUGUCCUGUUCGUUGUCGUGUCUUCGAGAUUGUUUUGUGGUCCUGUCAUUGUCUCGUCAACCCCCUCGAGUUUCCAGCUCGCCGGAUCCAGCUCGCCCUUCGCCGGCCUUCCAGUCCGGUCCAGUCCAGUCCAGCUCCGCCCUGUCCAGUCGUCGUCUUGCCAGCCCCGUGACAGCUCCACCUCCGGUCCGACUCCAGUCAGCUCCCUGCCACGAUCCACCCUGCGCCGUCACGCCGAACAGCUCCUGCACCUCGCUAGGCCUACGACCUGCCUCCGCGCCAGCAGCUCUAGUUUCCUCUCUCUCUAUUCGUUCCUGUAACGUGUUAAUACAUUUCACUGUUGUGAAUCACAGAA